AUGGAGACAGACCCACUCCUGCUAUGGGUGCUGCUGCUCUGGGUUCCAGGCUCCACUGGUGACAUUGUGCUGACCCAAUCUCCAGCUUCUUUGGCUGUGUCUCUAGGACAGAGGGCCACCAUAUCCUGCCAAGCCAGCGAAAGUGUCAGUUUUGCUGGUACAAGUUUAAUGCACUGGUACCAACAGAAACCAGGACAGCCACCCAAACUCCUCAUCUAUCGUGCAUCCAACCUAGAAUCUGGAGUCCCUGCCAGGUUCAGUGGCAGUGGGUCUGAGUCAGACUUCACUCUCACCAUCGAUCCUGUGGAGGAAGAUGAUGCUGCAAUGUAUUACUGUAUGCAAAGUAUGGAAGAUCCUCC